UUUAUUGAAUCUCUGCUAAAGAGUUUUAUAUUAAUAGAGUUGGUUUUCCAACUAUGACGAUAAACGAAUUUCGUAAUAAACAUUACGGACGUGGGGGCAGUACCCACCACCUCCACCAUUUACAACUUAUGGGGGUGAAUUAGGAUCGACGAGUGUCUAAAGGCUAUUCUUUCGUACGAGAUGGUUCCGACGUAACGGGCCAAUUUACAAAUGCUAACGAAAGUUACGCACUUGCAGCUUAAUUAACUUUGUUAAUUAGGUAACGGGGUCCGGGGCACCUGGCAACAGAACGCCCCUUU
rnacentral:tmRNA from 1 species